rnacentral:Y_RNA from 1 species
GGCUGGGCCGAGUGCAGUGGUGUUUACAACUGGUUUGUAACUGGUUACAACAAUUUCUUUGUUCCUUCUCCAUUCCCAUUGCUUCACUUGACUAGCCUACG